GAUGAACGCUGGCGGCGUGCCUAAUACAUGCAAGUCGAGCGAACAGACGAGGAGCUUGCUCCUCUGACGUUAGCGGCGGACGGGUGAGUAACACGUGGAUAACCUACCUAUAAGACUGGGAUAACUUCGGGAAACCGGAGCUAAUCCCGGAUAAUAUAUUGAACCGCAUGGUUCAAUAGUGAAAGACGGUUUUGCUGUCACUUAUAGAUGGAUCCGCGCCGCAUUAGCUAGUUGUUAAGUUAACGGCUUACCAAGGCAACGAUGCGUAGCCGACCUGAGAGGGUGAUCGGCCACACUGGAACUGAGACACGGUCCAGACUCCUACGGGAGGCAGCAGUAGGGAAUCUUCCGCAAUGGGCGAAAGCCUGACGGAGCAACGCCGCGUGAGUGAUGAAGGUCUUCGGAUCGUAAAACUCUGUUAUUAGGGAAGAACAAAUGUGUAAGUAACGAUGCACGUCUUGACGGUACCUAAUCAGAAAGCCACGGCUAACUACGU
rnacentral:rRNA from 1 species